rnacentral:lncRNA from 1 species
AAAAAUAAUAAAAUUGCACCAAAAAGAUUUAUUACCCUAGUGAUUCUCAUUUGCUAUGUGUACUCCUGACCCAAAUUAAGGCCUUUUUGAAUGUAUUUUAUAUUUCCUAAUGAAACAGGAAAUAGCCACCAAUGUAAUCAUGUAACCACUUUUACUUUAUUUGAAAAGCAGAUGCCUAUUAAAUUAGACAUUGCAGUUGGAACAGGUAGAGCCAUCUUAAAACAAUAGUAAAUGCCAUGUUUGUUGUUUCAGUAGGACUUCAAAUAAAGAGAACAGGGCUUUGUUAGAAGUUAAAGCCUUUUUGUGAUUUAAACACUUUGGAGAAAGAUUUUACCUAUAAACAUAAGGUUCUGUGAACAGAUCUUAUGCCCACUACAUUACUGUCCACUGGCAUGGAUAAGAGGCUCACUUUUGUCCUCUGGUAAAUAGGUCUUGGGUUCUAGAGAGAAAGCAGUCCUAGGUCUGCUCAGUGCAGAAGGCACAGUGUGACCAUUCCCCACCUCCAGGAACUCUCCACUGGCUAACGUUUUCAACACAGUUUUUAUUUAUAAAGGCAAAAUAUUUUGUGUCCUAUGUUGCAAGAUCAUGAUGGUUAGUAAAAUCUUAGUGUUUGGAAAUAGAAUAAUUAAUAAGUUUGUUUCUUCCUUUUAAAAUGUCUGCUUAGAGAAAUAUAAGUCCAGGAAAGUCCCAAGACAACGAGCAGAAAUAUAUACCCCUGAGCACAGUGUGGGGGAGGAAUAUAGAGGUUUUUAAAAAUCCUUUUCUCCAAGCCCACAUCACUGUCCAUUGAACCAAAGUCCUCAGGAGUCUGGAAAGUAAGGAGGUUGGGCAAAAAGUCUAGAGACUUGGCUGUAGGUCAUGGCGACAUACUUUUAUACAAAGAGUCUGUGGUUUUGCAUAUUUUGGUGGCAGGCAAGUCCAUUUUAUUUUUCUGUGACCUUGAUAUUUGACAUUAAGAUUGUCGGUGUAUUUGGAUUUUCCCUGAAGUUACAACAGUUGUGUUAGGCGUUGCUCUCGUGAAUCUUCAUGCAGAUGUCUACCAGUCUUGUGCAUAAAGUGCAGAUGACACACUUGGUACCGUAGGGAUCUCACUGCCUGUCCUGUCUGCCGGUGGCUCUGUUAGGUUAGGUUCUUCACUCCAAAGCUGGGACUUAAUGUCCUUCUAGGUGGGAAUCUACAGAAGUAAUUUGAAUAAGUUAAAACCAAAUCUUGAUAGCAGGAGACAGCUUCCUGGUCUAGAUGUACAAUUAGCUUAGGUUGGAGUUAGAGAGGGUUUGGGAAUGUCUUUAGUCUCUGUGUAAAUACCAACAUGCUUGUUAUGCACCGUAAACCAGUGUGUGUGCCUGUGUGUGGUUUGUAGAGCUGGUUUCUGCUUCAAGUGAAGCUGCACCUUUGAUUUUAUAAGGUCCCCUCCACCCAGAACCCUAUAAACGUUUGUAAAUAGAACACUAAAAUUUGUAGCGAUAGAAUCAAUUUGGGAAAUAUCUGCUGAGAGACCAAAAAGUUCAUUUUUUUAAGUACCUUGGUUAAAGAGUAAAGAUUAUUCCUCUUAUUUUUUAAAAGAAGUAUGCACUUUAACAAACACAGCUGCAUGGGCAAUUCAAACAAAUCCAUGAAGUGCAGUACCCAUCCAGAAACCACACUUCCUGAAAACCGUUCAAAGCAGAGUCCAGACGGGCUGGUGAUCUCACUGCCUGUAGGUUGAAGCUCAGAUUCUGAUGAAUUGUGAGACAAGCAGGGCUGCUUCAAAGAGCAAUGUGAAUACAGCCAGAAGCUUCAGACAGGUCUGUAAAAUGGCGGGUCCCGUAUUUACCACUAACUAGCAAAACUGACAGAAAAACUCAUAGAAAUAAAAAGUUUAAGAAUCCUUCCUGCUGGUGUGCACUCCUUCCAAUAGCAGACUUUUGCAAAUGGAGUUUUACAGUCUAUAUUUAAGAAAUUGUAUGUUUGUAACAAAUAAAGUAUGCGGAAAAGUGAAUGACA